UACGGGGGGGGCAAGCGUUGUUCGGAAUUACUGGGCGUAAAGGGCGCGUAGGCGGUCGGCCAAGUCUGGGGUGAAAUCUUUCGGCUCAACCGGAAAAGUGCCCCCGAUACUGGCCGUCUAGAGGGAGGUAGGGGCAUGUGGAACUUCCGGUGGAGCGGUGAAAUGCGUAGAUAUCGGAAGGAACGCCGGUGGCGAAAGCGACGUGCUGGACCUCAUCUGACGCUGAGGCGCGAAAGCCAGGGGAGCAAACGGG
rnacentral:rRNA from 1 species